rnacentral:lncRNA from 1 species
CAAGCGUUGCUAUCAUUUCCGAAAAUACCCGAACAUUCCCGAAGCUGUUCGAGAACUUUCUAACUGAGAACGAGAUUGUUCGAGCAUAUUCCCGAUCUCGAGAGUACAUUAUAUAAAGUUUGGAACAUGGCUGCUGUUAGUAAACAGCAUAACUUAAAAGUUGAUAUUGUGAGUUUUGCCUUGCAGUUUAGUGAUUAUCUGAUAAUAAUAUGGCUUUGCUUAGUUUGUGGGAAGACUUGAAUCCCAACAAACGUCAAUGUUGGCGUAAACGAAGAUGCUAUCCUGUCAUGGAAAUAAUAGAUGAAAUGUCCGAUUUGGAGAAUUUUCCUUGCAUCGUAUUCUCUGAUGGACUGGAUGGGAAGCGAAUGAAACUGUCUGAUGGACGAGAGGACGGUGAAUUCUCGAUGGAACUGGAAGAAACUAAGGGAUAUACUCCAGAAGAGUUAACGGUAAAAGUGAAGGGAAGAGAAGUGGAG